rnacentral:rRNA from 1 species
UACGAAGGGGGCUAGCGUUGUUCGGAAUUACUGGGCGUAAAGCGCACGUAGGCUGAUAGUUAAGUGAGGGGUGAAAUCCCGAGGCUCAACCUCGGAACUGCCUUUCAUACUGGCUAUCUCGAGUCCGGAAGAGGUUAGUGGAAUUCCCAGUGUAGAGGUGAAAUUCGUAGAUAUUGGGAAGAACACCAGUGGCGAAGGCGGCUAACUGGUCCGGUACUGACGCUGAGGUGCGAAAGCGUGGGGAGCAAACAGG